UCCCCGGCCCAGGCGAGGGGAGGGACCCCGCUUGCUUGACCACUUCUGCGUUCGCGCAGGGCGCGCCGCCAGGCGGGUAAAAGCAAAAACACGCGUGUUCCCGCCCUCUACUGGCGGCCGGGGCCUCCCAGCGCCAUGGUCUCCCUUCAGACGGAUGCGGGCUGCGGGAGGGGCGCUUCCCUAUGAAAACGCCUCCAUGCUGCUCCAGCUUUUUGAAUGGAGCGGUGGACCGUUUAAGAAUCUGGCUAAACCAAGAGUCCUGAAUCUUCUCUUCCAUCCUCCCAUCCAAAAACGUCCAUGUCCUGGUGCUGACUUUGGAUUACGUUUUAGAACAGCAGGAAUAGUGAUUUCUACCCGUCAGGACUGCUAAGAAGCUACAGAGAAUCCUAUGUAAAUGAACUGUGAUAUCCUUUGCUGCCCCUUUACAUGGGGAGACCCCUGUAUUUCAGCACAUUCAGGAGUGUAUAUCCAGCACCGUCAUUAUGAGUGUGACGAGUUUGUUUUCCUUCACAAGUCCAGCCGUGAAGAGACUUCUUGGGUGGAAAUAGUGUGAUGGAGAAAAAAAAUGGUCAGAAACAGCUGUUGCUGCAUUGGUGCAGAAACUGAAGAAGAAGACAGGAGCCAUGGAGGAGCAGGAGAAGGCCGUGAGCUGCCCCGGACAGCCCAGUCACUGUGUCACCAUCCUCCGCCCGCUGGAUGGCAGGCUGCAGGUCUCCAACCGGAAGGCACUGCCUCACGUCCUUUACUGCUGCAUGUGGCGCUGGCCAGAUCUUCAGAGCCACUAUGAGCUGAAGCCCCUGAAGUGCUGCAGGUUUCCCUUUGGCUUCAAGCAGAAGGCAGUCUGUAUCAAUCCCUACCACUAUAAGCUCAUAGAA